rnacentral:rRNA from 1 species
GAUAAACGCUGGCGGCGCACAUAAGACAUGCAAGUUGAACGGACUUAAUCGAAAUAUUUAUAUUUUGAAGCGGUUAGUGGCGGACUGGUGAGUAACGCGUAAGGAACCUGCCUAUUAGAGGGGAAUAACAGUGAGAAAUCAUUGCUAAUACCGCAUAUGCCAUAGAUAUCACAUGAUAACAGUGGGAAAGGGGCAAUCCGCUAAUAGAUGGCCUUGCGUCUGAUUAGAUAGUUGGUGGGGUAACGGCCUACCAAGUCGACGAUCAGUAGCCGGACUGAGAGGUUGAACGGCCACAUUGGGACUGAGAUACGGCCCAGACUCCUACGGGAGGCAGCAGUCGGGAAUAUUGCGCAAUGGAGGAAACUCUGACGCAGUGACGCCGCGUAUAGGAAGAAGGUUUUCGGAUUGUAAACUAUUGUCGUUAGGGAAGAGAAAGGACAGUACCUAAGGAGGAAGCUCCGGCUAACUACGU